AGUUAUGACUUGUCAUCUUUUUUCCCCAGACUUUUAUGCUUCUCAUACAAAGCAUAAAUUAUACUUCUCAUACAAAGCUAGAGAAUAUAAUAAACUAUAAGAACCAUAGAAGAUUGUCCGAAGGAGGCUUACAUUAGAUAAAUAACAUUCAGGGAAUGACAAUAGAACUGAAAAAGAAACUAUAUUCUCUCGGAAACAUGUUCAUAAAAUUCAGUACAUUCAAGAAUACUGAUUAAUAAGAUAUAGAGGUGGAUGAAGUGCUCCUGAGAUGCAAUGAAUAUAAAAAUAGAGAAAAAACAUAGAAAAUGACUAGUAGUAUCCUUGGAUCAGCCCCUUUUCACAACCAUAAUCAUUAUUCUGUCAUAGUCAUAGUUUUCCUGUCUCUUUGCUUCCAGACUUUCCUUCCUGAACCAAUUGUCUAAUUCAGUGGCCACUAAAAGAGUUUUAUCAUUGGUAUCAGCAAUUUUGAGUCUAAAGUGAUCUUUCAUAUCAAAUUUAAGUUUCAAAUCUGUGAACUUCAGGGUUUCCUAUGAGUGGUUCCAGCACUUUUUACCUUACUGAUCUUUUGAUGUGCCUUGAUUUCCAUCUCAUUUAUAGCCAGAUUAGUUUAAUGAUUUUCAUAUACACCUAACAAUUUUAUAUACACUUCAUAGCCAGCUCACUAGUCAUCUGUCCAGAAGAAAAUGUUCUAAUUUCCUAUUAGUCAUUUCAUGUUCUGUCCUUCCCCCAUUAUAAUUAAUUUUUGUUCACUCAGAAAUAUCAGGGAUUAAAUGAUUCUGAAUUUUUGGGCAAUGUGGCUGAUUUAAUACAA
rnacentral:lncRNA from 1 species